CAAAUGGCUCUUUAAAGAGCCACCCACAGGUAUCACAAAAUGAGC
rfam:Salmo salar isolate Sally breed double haploid chromosome ssa18, whole genome shotgun sequence.